rnacentral:rRNA from 1 species
UGCAGUCGACGAUGAACCACUUCGGUGGGGAUUAGUGGCGAACGGGUGAGUAACACGUGGGCAAUCUGCCCUGCACUCUGGGACAAGCCCUGGAAACGGGGUCUAAUACCGGAUACUGACCCGCUUGGGCAUCCAAGCGGUUCGAAAGCUCCGGCGGUGCAGGAUGAGCCCGCGGCCUAUCAGCUUGUUGGUGAGGUAAUGGCUCACCAAGGCGACGACGGGUAGCCGGCCUGAGAGGGCGACCGGCCACACUGGGACUGAGACACGGCCCAGACUCCUACGGGAGGCAGCAGUGGGGAAUAUUGCACAAUGGGCGAAAGCCUGAUGCAGCGACGCCGCGUGAGGGAUGACGGCCUUCGGGUUGUAAACCUCUUUCAGCAGGGAAGAAGCGAAAGUGACGGUACCUGCAGAAGAAGCGCCGGCUAACUACGUGCCAGCAGCCGCGGUAAUACGUAGGGCGCGAGCGUUGUCCGGAAUUAUUGGGCGUAAAGAGCUCGUAGGCGGCUUGUCACGUCGGUUGUGAAAGCCCGGGGCUUAACCCCGGGUCUGCAGUCGAUACGGGCAGGCUAGAGUUCGGUAGGGGAGAUCGGAAUUCCUGGUGUAGCGGUGAAAUGCGCAGAUAUCAGGAGGAACACCGGUGGCGAAGGCGGAUCUCUGGGCCGAUACUGACGCUGAGGAGCGAAAGCGUGGGGAGCGAACAGGAUUAGAUACCCUGGUAGUCCACGCCGUAAACGGUGGGCACUAGGUGUGGGCGACAUUCCACGUCGUCCGUGCCGCAGCU